UUGCUUUGGAAGAGGCUAUUCCACUGUUUAGGUGGAUUUGAGCUUUCCUCUGCUGCAGCUUUAGAAUCUGCAGUAGUUGGUUGUUGCAUACACGUCUUUUCCCCAUUUUCCUUCUCCUUUGGGCCUUCCAUAGGUAUGACUGGAUGUACAAUACUUCUCGCAGGAGCUGUUUGUAACAUAGGGACAUUAGAUGAUUGUGGAUCUGGAGCUGAUUGAGCCAAUGGAACAGUAGUUGCUUGUAACAUUGUGCCUUGUUAAUCUGAGACUGGUUGAGCCAAUGGAACAGUAUUCACAGAUGAAAUCGAUGGAACAGUGAUGC
rnacentral:lncRNA from 1 species